rnacentral:snoRNA from 1 species
AUGUGUCCCCAGACUUAGUAGACCGUGCAUGUGUCCCCAGACCUAGUUAUUUCCCUAGGUCUGGUUUUAUCAAUGCUGGUGAUAAAC